AACGAACGCUGGCGGCAGGCUUAAUCCAUGCAAGUCAAGGGGGUGUAGCAAUACACAACCGGCGUACGGGUGAGUAACGCGUGGGAAUGUGUCCAUUUGUGGGGAAUAGCUUCUGGAAACGGAAGGUAAUACCGCAUACGCCCUUCGGGGGAAAGAUUUAUCGCAGAUGGAGCGGCCCGCGUUAGAUUAGCUAGUUGGUGGGGUAACGGCUUACCAAGGCGAUGAUCUAUAGCUGGUCUGAGAGGACGAUCAGCCACAUUGGGACUGAGACACGGCCCAGACUCCUACGGGAGGCAGCAGGGAGGAAUAUUGGGCAAUGGGGGGAAAAACCCCCUGACCCAGCCAUGCCGCGUGAGUGAAGAAGGCCUUCGGGUUGUAAAGCUCUUUUGUACGGGAAGGUGAUGACGGUACCGUAAGAAUAAGCACCGGCUAACUUCGUGCCAGCCGCCGC
rnacentral:rRNA from 1 species